UUUGCGACUGGAGAAUUAGUUUUUACUGAUGAUUCAUGCGGAAGGCCUUGUCUGAAUUAUUGUAGGUGGAAGGCCUUGUCCGAGUUAUUGUUCCUUGGUAACGAUCGAAGAAAUUAUUUGAUUGCUAAGAUAUGACUGACCAAAAAUACGCUUUAUAAAGGAGAAAUUUUUGGCUGGAACGGUUGCAAUGAUUUUUGGCUUUCUAUCCUUAGAUGAAUCAAGUGGCUCGUGAAUUGGCUUGAUUCGACUCGAAUGAAGGCUCAUCAAGAGCUCGGCUCGACUUGAUUUGUGAAGGGAUUGUGAGCUAAGUUCGAUCACUGCUUGGCUUGAUUUGUGAAGGGAUUGUGAGCUAAGUUCGAUCACUGCUUGGCUUGAUUUGUGAAGGGGUUAUGAGCUAAGUUUGAUCACUGCUUGGCUUGGCUCGAUGGUUCACAAGUCGAAUUUGGCUCGAGUUAGAAAGAGUUAUAGUGAGGGUUUUUUAAACUAUUGGGGGCUACAAAAAAUUUGCAGUUAUUAAGCAUAAUAGUUUUAAAAUGACAAAUUCCCCACCUUGUAAAACUUGGUAAAACAUGAUAAUUUACCCAUUUGAACAAAAUCCCUAAAUUGAAACAAUCCCGCCCAAAAUUGACAAAUCCCAAUCAACUUGCAUGCUGUCCACUGUUAUUGCUGACAACGUCACCUAUUACAACCAUUCUCUUUGUCGCUAUCGUUUCGCCAUUUUCGUUAGCCUCCAAGUUCUCUUCGUCACUGUCUACUUCUCCUCUUGCUGUCGACGAGCCCGUUGUCCUCUCGUCCUUCUCACUGCCAGUAACUCAAUAAGGUUUGGAAAUGGACGACAGUAUCUCAAGUAGCCAUACAGAGCAAGAUACAAUUACAAUUACAAUUACACCAGGCAAUAAGCGUACCUUGAAUGAGACCACUACAAAUACGGAACACAGUGUUAGUAGCCCAGAUAAUGGUGGGCAGAAUGACAAUCCAAUUCAAAGGAAAAAGAGAGCUAAAACAUCAGUGGUUUAUACAAAGUUUAAGGAGGUGGUUCUCUCAGGGGGUACAAAAAAGGCAGAGUGUAUCCAUUGCAAAGCCAAGCUGUUUAUUAAUGCCACCAGAAGCACCACCCAGUUUUUAAUAGAUAUUUAAAAUGGUGUUCAAAGAGAAUAGCUUUCAUGAGGCAACAACACAUUACUUUUCCCUUGUCGGUUUCGAUGCUGGAACUUUUGUUUUACCUACUUUAAGUGAAAAGUUCGACAUGAUGAAGAUGAGGGAACUUAUCGCCCAUUGGGUGCUUAUGCACGAGCAUCCAUUUUUAGUUGUGGAGGAAGAGAGCUUGAACAAUAUGAUAAAGUAUGAGAUUCUUGAAUGGAGUCCGGUUUCUCGCCAUACCCGCAAAAAUGAUUGUAUGAAGGUCUAUGAGAGUGAGAAAGUGAAGUUAAAGACGUUGAAGAAUGUGACAAAGAUUAGUGGGCCUUCCCCAAGCUGUAUUCUGAGUUAGAAGCUCGUGCAAAUACUGUAACUGUUCGGGAUGCACUGUAUGAGCUAUAUGGAGAGUAUGUUGAAGCUAAUAAAGCUUCUACUAUUUCCCGUGGGCCUCCAGUAGUAGGGGAUGAAGUUGGAGCUAUUGGUGAGGAGGCAAUGGUUGCAGGAGCCACGAGUUGGGAUGAUUUUAGCAAUUUUUUGGAUGCGGUGGAGACUGUUGAGCCAAGUAAGUCUGAGCUAGACCGUUAUUUGGGAUAGGGGUGUCAUAUAUGCAUGGGGGGGAUUGUGAGGCAUUCAAUGCUUUACAAUGGUGGAAGACAAAUUCAACCAAGUACCUUAUAUUGUCUACGAUGGCUCAUGAGAUACUAGCCAUCCUAAUCACUACGGUUGCUUUAGAGUUUGCAUUCAGUGUUGGGAGUAGGGUUGUUAACAGUUAUCGAGCUUCUUUGUCUCUCGACACGGUGGAAAUGCUCUUAUGUGGAUGUGAUUGGUGUCGAUCUUUGAACAGAGUGAAGAAAAGGUGCAAAAAAGAGUAGGACCUCUUGGAGAUUGUUCUUCCUAUCAUGUCAAUUGACGGGAAUCAGUAGAUUGUUUGAUUCCCCUGCAUGUCAUUGGUUGUGGCAGCAGGAUUGUGCAAGUUUGACUUAAUUGAUUUUUUUGUUUGGGUUCGCAUAUUCAUCUUUAUUUACUUAUGUUCUUAAUUGAUUUUUUGUUUGCAAGAGUGGGGCGAGAAUGGUUUUGGGAUGUAGCUACCCAACAUACACCAUUUUUUUUUUUUUUUUAUGAAACAUUAUAUUUUGAUGUUUUGGGAUUAAAUUUGUAUAUAGUCCCCUUUUUGUUUUGAUUAAAGAUGAAUUAAAUAAAGUGAACCAAACAAAAAAUUUAGUUCACUUCACUUAAUUUGUUGAAACAAAACCAAUAUGGUAAAUGGUAAAUAGUAUGAUGAAAUGAUCACAUGUGGAGAUUGAGUUGUUUGCCAAAUACGUGCGGGUUUACUUGUGUUUGUCAAAUAGUUUGUGACAUUGAA